rnacentral:rRNA from 1 species
UACGAAGGGGGCUAGCGUUGCCCGGAAUCACUGGGCGUAAAGGGUGCGUAGGCGGGUCUUUAAGUCAGGGGUGAAAUCCUGGAGCUCAACUCCAGAACUGCCUUUGAUACUGAGGAUCUUGAGUUCGGGAGAGGUGAGUGGAACUGCGAGUGUAGAGGUGAAAAUUCGUAGAUAUUCGCAAGAACACCAGUGGCGAAGGCGGCUCACUGGCCCGAUACUGACGCUGAGGCACGAAAGCGUGGGGAGCAAACAGGG